CAAUAGCGUAUAUUAAAACUGUUGCGGUUAAAACGCUCGUAGUUGGAUAUUUGUUGGAGAGCACUGGUCCACCCCAGUGGUGCGUACUUGGUGCUUCUUUGACAUCUUACUGGAGAAAGUACGUGCGCUUCGCUGCGUGUGUGCAUGAACCAGAACUUUUACUUUGAGGAAAUGAGAGUGUUUCAAGCAGGCCUUUGCCAUGAAUACGUUAGCAUGGAAUAAUAACAUAGGACCUUGAGUCGUUGUUGUUGGUUGACGACACAAGGUAAUAAAAAUAGGGAGUAUUGGGGGCGAUUCGUAUUACAAUGUCAGAGGUGAAAUUCUUGGAUUAUUGUACGACGGACUACUGCGAAAGCAUUUGUCCAAGGAUGUUUUUUUAAUUCAAGAACGAAAGUUAGGGGAGUCGAAGACGAUUAG
rnacentral:rRNA from 1 species